rnacentral:rRNA from 1 species
UGGGGAAUCUUGCGCAAUGGGCGGAAGCCUGACGCAGCGACGCCGCGUGCGGGACGAAGUCCUUCGGGUCGUAAACCCCUUUCAGCAGGGACGAUGCCCUCACGGUGACGGUACCUGCAGAAGAAGCCCCGGCUAACUACGUGCCAGCCGCCGCGGUAAUACGUAGGGGGCGAGCGUUAUUCGGAUUCAUUGGGCGUAAAGCGCGCGUAGGAGGCCUGUUAGGUCGGGGGUCAAAUACCGGGGCUCAACCCCGGUCCGCCCCGGAUACCGGCAGGCUGGAGUCUGGUAGGGGAAGGCGGAAUGCCCAGUGUAGCGGUGGGAUGCGGAGAUAUUGGGAAGGACACCGGCGGCGAAGGCGGCCUUCUGGGCCACGAAUGAAGCUGAGGCGCGAAAGCAAGGGGAGCGAACAGG